rnacentral:rRNA from 1 species
CCUACGGGAGGCUGCAGUGAGGAAUAUUGGUCAAUGGGCGAGAGCCUGAACCAGCCAAGUCGCGUGAGGGAGUACUGCCCUAUGGGUUGUAAACUUCUUUUAUAAAGGAAUAAAGUGAGGCACGUGUGCCUUUUUGUAUGUACUUUAUGAAUAAGGAUCGGCUAACUCCGUGCCAGCAGCCGCGGUAAUACGGAGGAUCCGAGCGUUAUCCGGAUUUAUUGGGUUUAAAGGGAGCGUAGAUGGGUUGUUAAGUCAGUUGUGAAAGUUUGCGGCUCAACCGUAAAAUUGCAAUUGAUACUGGCAGCCUUGAGUACAGUUGAGGUAGGCGGAAUUCGUGGUGUAGCGGUGAAAUGCUUAGAUAUCACGAAGAACUCCGAUUGCGAAGGCAGCUUACUAAACUGCCACUGACAUUGAUGCUCGAAAGUGUGGGUAUCAAACAGGAUUAGAUACCCUGGUAGUC